UUUGUACUCCCUCCGAUCCAUAUUAAUUGUCGAAAUAUUACAUGUAUCUAGACGCUUUUUAGGCAUAGAUACAUCCAUAUUUGGGCAAAUUUGAGACAAUUAAUAUGGAUCGGAGGGAGUACUAA
rnacentral:pre_miRNA from 1 species